AAACAGAUAAUUAGUGAACUGCAAAUGACUAAUGCACUCAUAUUGCGUAAAUUCCUCUUUUCAUAUUCAAAGCACUGCCAUGUGCUCCAAGUUCCCCAACCCCAACCAUUAACCUCAAGGGUUUGCGGACCAAAAAAGGAGAUGGAGUCAGUCCAAGAGGAAACAUUCCCAUCUCCAGAAGCACUAUCUGCUGAUUCACAAAGAAAGAAUUUCAGAAAUCCAGCCUCUCUCCUUCCCCCAUCACUUCUCCUUUGAGCUUCUAAAGAAGAAGAAACAGUUUUGAGGACUCCUGCUAGGGGCACAUGGUGUCAGGUUCAGUCCUCUGUUUUCCAGCAGGCAAACCAAAGUUCUUUGAUCAGGAUUGCUGAGACUACCAUUAUGAGUGGGCAAUUGGGGGAGGAGAAGACUGGACAGGAAAACUAUGGUAUCUUUCCUUCAGCAUGUAAUACUCUUCAAAAUCUUUACUGGGGACUUCAAUGAUGGGACAAAAUGCAAGUUUUCAAGUGGCACCGAAAGAGGGAGAAGAGUUAAUAGUACAGAAAAGAGAUCUCAACCAGCUGGAGAAACAGAACUAGGAGGCAUGGACAUAAACCAGCGUGCAUGACCUUCAAAUCAGGGAAAAUGAUUCUUCAUACAGAUACAGCUAAGCCGUGAAAUUCCUGGCAACAGAAUGAUGUGGAUGCUAAAUGUUUCCAUUAGCUACAAGAGUACGUGGAUGGGCUAGUGGUUUGAGAAAUUCCUUUGAGACUACUGAAGGCAAAGAAAUCCCUGAUCUGUGCUCAGAUGAUGGCCCAGAAUGUAUUCUGGGAGAGACAACAUCCUGUACUUCUAGGACUGUACAAUUGCCUGGAUAUCUGUUUUUGACCGCCAGCAGAGAAUUGGGAUUGGUGUACUUUUGUCUGACACAGUAUGUCUGCUUUUAUGUGUAGUUUUACGUUGGAAGUGGAAUAUUGUGCAUAAAAAUGAAAACUCUUCAUUUAGAUGGUUUACCUGAAUCAUGCCAGAUUAAUGGCAUGCAUUAGGAAACAAUUCAAAAGACAGAAGUCUCAGAACUGGGAACAAUCAGAACUCUGUAAAAAUGAUGUGGCCCAUGGAACAAAAAGCUGUAUUCAGCUUUGACACACAUGCGGCGUUCUCUCUGAAGUCACAGGAACCAUGCACGCAUCAAACCCAAGACAAAAAUAGAUAAAUAGCAAAAAUAGAUCCAAAAGUACCCAUGCGAGGGAAAUAACCUUAUUUAUGGAAAAAGCUGCAGUGUUUAUCACCUAUUCAAUCCUUUGUCACAGAUUUCUAAAGCACAGACUGAUAUAACCCAAGACCUAGUCAAAAAAGAAGGGUAAUAACGAAUACUUUUCUAUUCAGACAUGCUCUGAAUUAGCACCUUUAGAAUGAACAAAAAGAUCACUUCUCUGAAGAUGACCUGUUGAAGAUGGUACCAUCUGAGAGCACACAGUUGGACCACUAAGUUUUAUUUCAACUCCAGAGAAUGCCUUGGUUUCCUUGCCAGUUUGACAGAAGUGCUCAAGAGAAGCUCAAAUACUUACUGGCAUUUUAGGCUUUUUAGAUUAAGUUGAGGAAAAGAUUGAUUAUGUAUUUGUUUGGUAGGUUUAUAUUUAUAUUUAACUAGGUCUGGGAAUGGAAAAUAGAUUUAAUUAAGGUGUAACUAUAAAUUCAGGUUGAAGCUCUAAAUAGCAAAUAGUGCAAACAGGAAUCAGGAUGAGUUUUCUGCCUUCCAGAGAGGUAUGUUAAAGUAAUCUGUAGAUACAAGAGCAAUUUCUUACCUCUCAGCUGCUGAUCAUAUACAGAAGUCUUAUGUCACUGAUCUGCAAAACUUACAUGUAGAGUAAAAUAGCAUGUUAAAAAUCUUCUGAAGUGAACUUUAUGGAUGCAGGUAUAUACUGGAAAGAGUGGGCCUCUAGUAAUUUUUACUUGCUUGAGGUAUUUCUUUCCGAAAUACUGGUAGUUCCAUGUUAAUUUUUCAAAGAAUGUUUCAAGAUAUAGCACAGCAUUCUUUAUGGAGAUUUUCUCAGAUGCAUUCAUUCUCCUCAGAGCAGUCCACUGCAUAAUCCCUGUGCUCCAUUUUCUAACCUAAUGUACAGUCUUUCCUGACUUCCACUACCAGUAAGGAAUUGUGAUAUAGAAAUUAAGUCCUAGGUCCCUGACAGGAAAAGGCCCCAAAUUAUUAAACUCUGGACAACCCAUUGGGCUCAUUUCCCAAUGAGCUUGGACACCAGCAGGUAGCUAGGCUUUUGGGGGGAUAUAUAACUUUCCUUUUGUAGCUGGUGGAGCUUAGGUUUUAUCUGUUAUGUUUGUGGAUCAGAUUUUGAGGUUGAGUUUAUAUAGGAAUUGCAUUAGGCACUCUGGAGAGUAUAAGUUAAAAAAGAAUGCAAAGAAAUAAAAAGUCUGGAAGGAAAAAGCACAUAGGAGGAUGAAAUGGAGAAUACCAAAUUAAAUAUUUGAUUCUCUUUUUCGUUUUAGUAGUUUUCUACUUUGUUAAUAAUAUAACUCAAAAAACCUAGUUUUAAAAAACUUAACAUUUUCCAUAUACUGGAAUUUGAAGAUCAUUAUUUUCAACACUACAUUCUUUCUCAGAUACAGUUUUUGAUAUUAUACACCACUCAAAUCCCUAAGCCACCAUAAUCUGUAACUCAAUUUCCAUUUAUACCUAAAAGGCUUCUGACAUCUGUUUAAACACCAAUAUCUCCACAAGUACAUAGAAAUUUUACUCCUGCUGGGUAUCAACUGAAAGAAUCUGAAGUUUAAAAUGACAUUAAGCUUAACAAGCAGCUCCUAGUGAUUUUCUGCUGAUGUUAGUAUUUAAAUGGAUUUUUUCCUUCAAUAUUUCCUGUUUUGUCAGUGGCCUUAGAUUCUUACUGAGAUCUUUCAAAUCAACAUACAGUCUUUUGACUGAAUAUUGAGAUAAUUUGAAUAAACUUUUCAGACUUUUUCCUUGUAGCAUGUUAUCACAGGCAUAUGAGCUCCUCUUUCAAUGAUUCAUCAGCUCUCAUGAACAAACAGCAUACAACAAGGCAGAAUAGCUGAACUCUGAAGCUAAUGAAUGGGGGCCAAGAAAGAAGCCAUCGGAUUUAAUUUUGGGCCAAAUAGAGGAGUAUUAAUUAUAUUUUGGAGGAGUAAUAAUCAUAUUUUGCUGACAACUUUAGUCAUUAAUCUAUUAAAUUGUCUCCAUGGAUGUUUGUCUUAACAUGCCAAUGGAUAUAAUGAUAUGUCAGAUCUGAUUUUUUUGUAUACAGCUGGUAACUGGGUGUUAGGUGAUGGUCAAGGUUGUCCUUGCCAUAGUCUGCAUUUUAUUGUAUGGUCA